rnacentral:rRNA from 3 species
CCUACGGGAGGCAGCAGUGGGGAAUAUUGCACAAUGGGCGCAAGCCUGAUGCAGCCAUGCCGCGUGUAUGAAGAAGGCCUUCGGGUUGUAAAGUACUUUCAGCGGGGAGGAAGGCGAUGUGGUUAAUAACCGCGUCGAUUGACGUUACCCGCAGAAGAAGCACCGGCUAACUCCGUGCCAGCAGCCGCGGUAAU